UACGGAGGAGGCAAGCGUUAUCCGGAAUUAUUGGGCGUAAAGCGUCCGUAGGUGGUUUAGUAAGUCUGCUGUUAAAGCGCGGGGCUUAACUCCGUAUCGGCAGUGGAAACUACUAGACUAGAGUGUGGUAGGGGUAGAGGGAAUUCCCAGUGUAGCGGUGAAAUGCGUAGAUAUUGGGAGGAACACCGGUGGCGAAGGCGGCGACCUGGGUAGAUACUGACGCUGAGGUGCGAAAGCGUGGGGAGCAAACAGG
rnacentral:rRNA from 1 species